rnacentral:rRNA from 1 species
UACGUAGGGGGCAAGCGUUGUCCGGAUUUAUUGGGCGUAAAGAGCGUGUAGGCGCCAGACAGGUCCGUUGUGAAAACUCGAGGCUCAACCUCGAGACGUCGAUGGAAACCGUCUGGCUAGAGUCCGGAAGAGGAGAGUGGAAUUCCUGGUGUAGCGGUGAAAUGCGCAGAUAUCAGGAAGAACACCCGUGGCGAAGGCGGCUCUCUGGGACGGUACUGACGCUGAGACGCGAAAGCGUGGGGAGCGAACAGG